GUGAGGAAUAUUGGUCAAUGGGCGAGAGCCUGAACCAGCCAAGUCGCGUGAAGGAUGAAGGUUUUAUGAAUUGUAAACUUCUUUUGCAGGGGAAUAAAGUACGGUACGUGUACCGUUUUGUAUGUACUCUGCGAAUAAGGAUCGGCUAACUCCGUGCCAGCAGCCGCGGUAAUACGGAGGAUCCAAGCGUUAUCCGGAUUUAUUGGGUUUAAAGGGUGCGUAGGUGGUUUGAUAAGUCAGCGGUGAAAGUUUGCAGCUUAACUGUAAAAAUGCCGUUGAAACUGUCGGACUUGAGUGUAAAUGAGGUAGGCGGAAUGCGUGGUGUAGCGGUGAAAUGCAUAGAUAUCACGCAGAACUCCGAUUGCGAAGGCAGCUUACUAAGCUACAACUGACACUGAAGCACGAAAGCGUGGGGAUCAAACAGGAUUAGAUACCCUUGUAGUCC
rnacentral:rRNA from 1 species